rnacentral:rRNA from 1 species
AUUGAACGCUGGCGGCAGGCCUAACACAUGCAAGUCGGACGGUAGCACAGAGAGCUUGCUCUUGGGUGACGAGUGGCGGACGGGUGAGUAAUGUCUGGGGAUCUGCCCGAUAGAGGGGGAUAACCACUGGAAACGGUGGCUAAUACCGCAUAACGUCGCAAGACCAAAGAGGGGGACCUUCGGGCCCCUCACUAUCGGAUGAACCCAGGUGGGAUUAGCUAGUAGGCGGGGUAAUGGCCCACCUAGGCGACGACCCCUAGCUGGUCUGAGAGGAUGACCAGACACACUGGAACUGAGGCACGGUCCAGACUCCUACGGGAGGCAGCAGUGGGGAAUAUUGCACAAUGGGCGCAAGCCUGAUGCAGCCAUGCCGCGUGUAUGAAGAAGGCCUUCGGGUUGUAAAGUACUUUCAGCGGGGAGGAAGGCGGUGCGGUUAAUAACCGCGUCGAUUGACGUUACCCGCAGAAGAAGCACCGGCUAACUCCGUGCCAGCCGCCGCGGUAA